CCUACGGGAGGCAGCAGUGGGGAAUAUUGGACAAUGGGCGAAAGCCUGAUCCAGCAAUGCCGCGUGAGUGAUGAAGGCCUUAGGGUCGUAAAGCUCUUUUACCCGGGAUGAUAAUGACAGUACCGGGAGAAUAAGCCCCGGCUAACUCCGUGCCAGCAGCCGCGGUAAUACGGAGGGGGCUAGCGUUGUUCGGAAUUACUGGGCGUAAAGCGUACGUAGGCGGUUAUUCAAGUCAGAGGUGAAAGCCCGGGGCUCAACCCCGGAACGGCCUUUGAAACUAGAUAGCUAGAGUCUUGGAGAGGUCAGUGGAAUUCCGAGUGUAGAGGUGAAAUUCGUAGAUAUUCGGAAGAACACCAGUGGCGAAGGCGACUGACUGGACAAGUACUGACGCUGAGGUACGAAAGCGUGGGGAGCAAACAGGAUUAGAUACCCUGGUAGUCCACGCCGUAAACGAUGAUAACUAGCUGUCCGGGUACUUGGUAUCUGGGUGGCGCAGCUAACGCAUUAAGUUAUCCGCCUGGGGAGUACGGUCGCAAGNUUAAAACUCAAAGAUAUAGACGUGAGAGAGCGACGACGACGACGACGAGGAGAG
rnacentral:rRNA from 1 species